GACGAACGCUGGCGGCGUGCUUAACACAUGCAAGUCGAACGGAAAGGCCCUGCUUUUGUGGGGUGCUCGAGUGGCGAACGGGUGAGUAACACGUGAGUAACCUGCCCUUGACUUUGGGAUAACUUCAGGAAACUGGGGCUAAUACCGGAUAGGAGCUCCUGCUGCAUGGUGGGGGUUGGAAAGUUUCGGCGGUUGGGGAUGGACUCGCGGCUUAUCAGCUUGUUGGUGGGGUAGUGGCUUACCAAGGGUUUGACGGGUAGCCGGCCUGGGAGGGUGACCGGCCACAUUGGGACUGAGAUACGGCCCAGACUCCUACGGGAGGCAGCAGUGGGGAAUAUUGCACAAUGGGCGGAAGCCUGAUGCAGCAACGCCGCGUGCGGGAUGACGGCCUUCGGGUUGUAAACCGCUUUCGCCUGUGACGAAGCGUGAGUGACGGUAAUGGGUAAAGAAGCACCGGCUAACUACGUG
rnacentral:rRNA from 1 species